AAUGAAGUGCCUGAAAAAAGGAUUACUUUGAUAGAGUAAAUCAUGUAUAUUUAUACCUUCAUUA
rnacentral:tRNA from 1 species